UACGUAGGGUGCGAGCGUUUAAUCGGAAUUACUGGGCGUAAAGUGUGCGCAGGCGGCCAUGCAAGUCGAGUGUGAAAGCCCCGGGCUUAACUUGGGAAUUGCGCUCGAAACUACGUGGCUGGAGUGUGGCAGAGGAAGGUGGAAUUCCACGUGUAGCGGAUGAAAUGCGGUAGAGAUGUGGAGGAACACCAAUGGCGAAGGCAGCCUUCUAGGGCCAACACUGACGCUCAUGACACGAAAGCG
rnacentral:rRNA from 1 species